rnacentral:rRNA from 1 species
UACGGAGGGGGCUAGCGUUGUUCGGAAUUACUGGGCGUAAAGCGCACGUAGGCGGCUUUGUAAGUUAGAGGUGAAAGCCCGGGGCUCAACUCCGGAAUUGCCUUUAAGACUGCAUCGCUAGAACGUCGGAGAGGUAAGUGGAAUUCCGAGUGUAGAGGUGAAAUUCGUAGAUAUUCGGAAGAACACCAGUGGCGAAGGCGACUUACUGGACGAC